rnacentral:lncRNA from 1 species
ACCCACAAAUCAGAAAAAUUACUUUCAGCAACAGCUAGAGGGCACUGCAAACACCAAUCCAGCCACAUGAAGAUUAAUAUUAUCAUCGAAGCUAACUGUAUAACUUUGCUCUCCUGUUUGGCACAAGAUGAAGAGCAUGCAUGAUUCCCUUAUCUCUUUCAGUUCAAGACAAGCUUGCUAAAAGAGACCAGACGGUGCUGAUCGCCAUCACUGUGGCCUUCAGUGCUGCGGCUCUAUUGUUUCUAAUCAUCUACGGAAUUGUUUUCUUCUGCAAGAGAAGGAAGAAAAAGUCAAGCUACAAGGAGGAGCUCAGGAGGGCACGAAUCCAUUCCCAGAAUAGGACGCCUGCCACAGAAAAUGUGCGAGGACGGGACAACCAAGGAUAUAUUAGAGACAGGCAUGAUGGACACACCAAUGGUGGAGUCUGGUACACAAACCACUCUAACAAACAUCAGAUGCCUGAUGGCUUUUUUGAUGGUCACAGGAAUGACAGACACAUGACCAUCCUCUAGAGACUAGAUCUGACUAGAUGUUGGACUUCACAGACAGCAGGUGCACUGGCUCGCUUCUUCUCUCUUGUACAUAAAAUAAUAAUUUUAAGUUUAAAUACAGAAGAAAGAGAGCCUGAAAGAUUUGUUUCACUUCCACUGGAUUAUUUAUUGGAACACAGAAGGAUUUUCUUGGUGGUCUCAGACUUUUGGACCCCACUGAACACUGUGGAUAAUCACCAUCAGAGCAUGUUUUUGGGCUUUAACAGAAAGUGGUCGGAAUGAGGGCGGUCGAGGGGUUGGUUAAGAUCUGCCGGAAAUCACUUGUCUGUUUACUUAAACCAAUAUGACAGAAGUGUUGAUUCAUUUUAAAGUCCUUGCAUGUGCAUAAUGCAUUCAUCAGAUGCUUGCAUUUCCACAGCAGGUUUUUUCUUUAUCAACAUCUUCCCGUUUUCUCCAGAAUCAUAAAAUCAUCAGCAUAUGGCACCACACAUCCCAUGAGAGUUUUGCUUCCUGUUUUUAUAGCUACUUACAAUUCAAAGAUUUUAUAUUAGAAGCGUUUAGAGAAGAUCAUCUUGUGUGACACGUAAUGCUUCACAGAGCAUGAUGCUGUUAAACAAUUCAUCUAAACCACUGAUUUUUACCUCCCCACAGAGGGAAACUACUUAAACUCCAAAAUUACAUCAUACAGUGGAGUGUCAUGAAAUGGACUGGAACUAUGUGAUCCUUAUUAAAACAUCAAUCAGCCACUUUUGAACAAAUGUUUUUAAAACCAUGUAUUAUUAAUGUAUAGCGAAAUUGAUUUUUCCCCCCCUUCAGUUUUAUGAUCCCCUCCUCUUUUUUUGUUUUAAGCAUGAACCUCACUUUUUAUACUUAAAACAAGAAAAUAUGCCAGUGAGAUGAGGAGAAUAUAUUAUACUUAAUUCUAAAUUAAUUCAACAUUUUAUUUGGUUACUCAAGGCAAUUGUUCAUUUUUUGUUUUUUAAUCAUCUAUCUAUCCAUCCAUCCAUCCAUCCAUCCAAGUUGACUUUAUUAUUCUGUUUUCAAGAUAUUUAAAAAAUGCUUUCAGAAGCCGCAAAGCUGGAGAAAUUUUUAAACCAAAGAACAGACAUAUAGAUAACAGACAGAAACGCUCUGCUGCCCUUUUUCAAGCGUUCCUUUAGUAAAAUAUCUCGCUGCAGUGUGCAUCUGACAUUCUUAUCCAAGUGCUCUGCAGUCAGUGUGUGUGAAUAUUAGCCCACUUUCAUCUUUUCCCUUAAAAAAAUAAUGAAUGCUCAUAAAUAAAUAAAUAAAGCUGGGUUAAUGGCCAGCUGUAGGCUGGCAUCUAUUCCCCUGUGGCUUGUUAUGAGCUGUGGAGUCUUCCUCUUCCUCACGCCUCACUCCACCCAGCUCUGUGCUGGCCGAGCAGCUGAUAUUCUCCCACUCAUUACGACCACACCAAAGACACUUCCUGUUAUGUAACCAGCACUGUGUACCCCCAAUACACAGAUAUGGAACAUUUCCAGUUUCAUUCUAAUAUGAAGAAAAAUAUCAUGGAGAACCCUGUGGGGAAGCGCUGCUGUAGUGAUGGUAUCAGCUGGUAAUUUCAAAGAAUGCCAUGGUGCUUUGAUAAAUAUAUACUGUAAAAUGGCACUAAAUAAUUAUCAUAUAGCAUGGUAUUUACAUGCUAUUCCAAUGUAUUUUAAAUAAGCUAUAGCAGUGUGGCUCCAUUCACAGUAAAUGCUGCUCCACAUAAACUGUUAUAAUUUACAUGCGUGGAGCAUCUCAAACUCCAUCUCUGCAUAUUGUUGUGAGUUGGAAUUUAUUAUAACGUUCAUCUGGGAACUCAGCAUGUUCCAUUUAAUCAGAUUUGUAAGGUAAAUCAUUUAUAAACCAAAGCAAACAUAAUACUUUUCUCAACUGUUUAUCGCGACUUCAAAAUAAAAGUUUAAUCCCUCGCUCUGAGUUUACACAUUUUGCUAUAUUCAAGAACUUAUAGUGGCUGUAGCAUUUCUGUCCUAAAGAAAUGGCCAAAUCUGAAAGUUUAAGUGGACAUUUGAAUUAAAUGUUAUGUCAAUACUGAACAAGGAUUAGAUUGCACAGUGAAGUGUAAAAACAAAUCGCAGGCAUUUGUUAUCAUGCAUAAUGUACAUUGGCUCCAUUGUUUAUGACACAUUAUGUAUUUUAACAGUUUUGUUCAAUAAAACCAUAUGAUUAC